rnacentral:rRNA from 1 species
GCCUACAGCCAUACCACCCUGAACAUGCUCUCUCUCUCGUCUGAUCUUGGUAGCUAAGCAGGAUCGGGCCUGGUUAGAACUUGGAUGGGAGAAAGGGCGAAGGCCCAGGGAGAAGAGGAG